GGCGGGUCUCCCCGCAUUUCAGGGUAGUGAAUCUGGUCAGGUCCGGAAGGAAGCAGCC
rnacentral:SRP_RNA from 1 species